AAUGAACGCUGGCGGCAGGCCUAAAACAUGCAAGUCGAACGCCCUAGCAAUAGGGAGUGGCGCACGGGUGAGUAACAUGUGGGAAUAUGCCUUUUGGUACGGAACAACGUUUGGAAACGAACGCUAAUACCGUAUGGUCCCUCCGGGGUAAAGAUUUAUCGCCAAAAGAUUAGCCCGCACUAGAUUAGCUAGUUGGUAAGGUAAUGGCUUACCAAGGCGACGAUCUAUAGCUGUUCUGAGAGGAAGAUCAGCCACACUGGGACUGAGACACGGCCCAGACUCCUACGGGAGGCAGCAGUUAGGAAUAUUGGACAAUGGGCGCAAGCCUGAUCCAGCCAUGCCGCGUGAGUGAUGAAGGCCUUCGGGUUGUAAAGCUCUUUAGACGACGAAUAUAAUGACUGUAGUCGGAGAAUAAGCCCCGGCUAACUUCGUGCCAGCCGCCGCAGUAAUAC
rnacentral:rRNA from 1 species